rnacentral:lncRNA from 1 species
ACAACUUGACACCAUCCAUCAAACAAUCUUAUACGAUCUCGACCCAUGCUCUGCGAUCGCGAUUAAGAAGACCAAAUACCUAGAAUUCUGCAUAACCAACAAUGCAAAAUGAAGGAAAAAUAGUCUGAAAUCAAUCUGAUACACGACCAAGCCCCUCGAGACCCUAUCCAAAUAUGCCAAACAAGUCCCAAAAGACAUAAAUAAGCUAUUACAAUUUCUGGAACCACAAUCCGAAUCCGAUAUCCAAAAAGGUCAAACUUAUGAAUUUUCCAAACCUUCAAAUUUUCAACCUUCCCCAAUUAGUGCCAAAUUCUUCUAGGAACAUACAAAUGCAAAUUCGGGCAUAAGUCCGAGUUCAAAAUCACCAUCCGGACCUAACGGAACCAUCAAAACUCCAAUAUGAGGUCAAAUACUAAAAAUUUAAACUUGGUCAACUCUUCCAAUUUAAAACUUAAACCAUGAAAUUCAUUUUUCUAAAUCAAUUCCGAAUAACCUGAAAACCGAAACCGACGAUUCACAUAAGUCAUAAUACAUCAUAUGGAGUUGCUCAUGCCAAUAAACUACCAAGUGAAGUACAAAUUCUCAAAACGAUCGAUCGGGUCGUUACAUCAAAUGCUCAAACACCGCCAACAAUUCAAUAUUUGCUAUUAAAUAUCCCAACUACAUCAAAACAAACGCAAAAAGAUUCAUAAAUAUCUAUUUAGGCUUCACAAUUGGCAACAAGCCUUCAACCAUUCCAAAUUAUCCAAUAGGUUCACCCAUUAGCCUAUUCAAUUCUAUUCUUAUCAUUUAAUACUCAUUUGGAGUCAUUAAUGAUACUACGUUAGUUACCCAACAUCGUCAAGUCUCUAUUCAUUGUCUUCUCCAACAAAACCCUAGAUUCAAGAACUAGUAUUAUAUCUUAUCCAUAGAGAUGGAAAAUAGAGCGGGGCAGGGCGGGAUAGGGGAGGGCAGGGAAAUCCUUAAUGGGGCAGGGCAGGGCAAGACAGGGCAAAGUCUUAAUGGGACCGGGCAGGGCGUGGCAGAUCAAAACACAUUUUCAAAAAAUAGUUAAUGGAUCAGGGCAGGUAUAGGGUAGAAUUUUAGCUGCAAAUUCAUUUACUGCUUUAUCAAUCUUUAAGGUCAACACUAAUGAAAACAUAACUUGUUAUGGUACAAUAGUUUUACUCCUUAGAAAACAAGAAUACCUUUCUACAUUUAUAUAGAAUUGUAGUAGCUCUAAGCGAUAAUCUAUAUAGGAAUUUUCUUUUGUAGCCAAAGUUGUGUAAUUCCCUAUUUUGUUUCCACCUUCUUUUAGUCGUUAUUUUUGGUCUUAUGAAAUAUUCUUCAGAUUAAAUGUCCCCUUACUAAGAAUUUUAACUGCACUCAAAUUAGGAACCCAUAAAAUUUGUGGUAUUCUAUUAACUUCUUCUUAUAGCUUUUUGAUUUUUCAUUAAAUAAGAUAAAAAGGUUUAUUGAUUUAUGUCUAUGUGAUCUCCAUCGCAAAUCGUGAUCCAGAAGUUUCUCUUACCCAAAUUUUUAUCAACAUGUUUAACUUGACUACACCCGUCCUAAGUAAAUCAUCUUAUGUUUAUUAUAAUUCAAAGCACAUAAUAAAUGAAUAACCUAAAUAUUGAAUGUGGAUAAGUUAUUUUCUUGUUCAAUAAGGAUGAAACCAUAUGAUACAAUUCAUUUUCAUAUGUUACUGAGAGCAUAACAUCCCCAUUAUUUAUUGGAUUGAUAUAGUCUUCAGUAGCUAUUUUAGUCUUUAAUUUUUUACAUACUAAACAAUCAACUCAUAGAACCUCUUCUAUAGUGAGUCCAUCUAACUGCUUUGUAUUUGUUCUUGGAGUGGAACAUUAAUACAAGGGGAACUUAGUCUUUGAUAAAUUAUAUGUCAUUGGUAAAAAUUAUAUUUUAUUCAAUCAAUAUGCAUAAACAACUAAAUAAUAUUUUAACUAUUUCAAUAGAAAGUUGAAAAGGCAAAAGAAAUUAAAAUCAUAAUACAAAAUAAAAAUAAAGAGAAAAAAAAUAAAAAAUGUCCAAAUGGGGCAGGGCGAGGCAGGGCUUAAUAGGGCGGGACUGGGCAUGGCAAAUUUUUUACAAAAGGCUAAAUGGGGCAAGGCAGGGUCAAGGCUUGUCCUGCCCCGCCACACCCUGCCCUGCCCUAUUUACAUCCCUACUUAUCCAAAUAGUGAUUCUCGAUUCAAUUCGUUCAUAAAUUAGGUUAUCAAUCUAUAUGAGUCAUUAGAAACUCAAGACAUAUCCAUUUAUAUCGAUUCAUCACUAUUCAUCUUUUUCUUUGCCUAAAAUAUUAUUUUCAAGAACCCACCCUUAGAGUUCAUACAAUAUUCCGUUACAACUUCAAAUAAAACUAAUAAACAUGUCACCCACACUUCAAUAUAUCAUAUAUGUGAAGCUCAAGUGAAGGGAUUACCUCUUGGUGGAAGAAUCUCACUUUUUCUCUUUUUGGUGUUCUUGAAGAUUCACCACAAAUGCAUUUUAAAUACUUACCUUAAAAUGUGUUGACGAGGGAUGUGCUCCUACUUCUCUCUAAGUUCAAGACCCUUGUCCAAAAUUCCAUCUCAUGCUCUCUCCUCAAAAUAGUCACUUUUAUAAUUUUGAUGGCAUGCAUAACUACGCAUAUCUCCAACAUAGCUACGCUUCCUUCCUCUUCAGCCCCCCUUCAUUUGAAUACCUUGCUGAAAUCCGCUAUGCCCAGGGCAGCGUAGCUACUACGUGGCUGUUGUGGUACCCUUUAGUAAAAAAUUAUAACUUCUUGUAAAAAUAUCCAAAUGACAAACGGUUUGAAACAUUGCAAACUAGACUCAUAGUUCUUUAGUUUGAUAGGUCAUACACUACAUAAAUCUUCAUAUAUUGGUAGUUGUACUCGUUUGAAUUUAGAUCUCGUGCCAACUCAUUUAAAACUUUAGCCCAUUAUAUAAUUUCAAACUUGACUUAGUUUUAGGGAUCUUCUUAGACCAUAAACCAUUCUUAAUGUACCUCAAAUAUAUAUUAUCAUGAUCAAAUGAUAUCCUUCAUAUUAUUAGUCUUGUUCAUACCUAAGUUAAUAUAUUAACACCUAUCAAUCUUCUUAAUGGUCUUAAACACUUCGAAAUUUUUCGGGGUGUUACAUUAACAAAAAAAUCGUUAUGAAUGAAAUAAAUACUUAGUAGUAAAGUUUUAAAAAUAAUAUCAAAUAGUGAAACAAAUUAAGUAUUUAGUAUUGUUUUAAUCAGGAAUAAGAUUAUUAAAAAAUUGGCAGUAUGUACCAGUACAACAAAAUAUACUGCAACAAAUCACUAAGUUUAUCCUUGAAAAUUAGGCACAUUGGAUGAACUGCCAUCGGGAGCUGAAUUACCACCGCUUCCCAAAUCGACUGAAGGAUAUUUACGAUGAUUGUAUCCUGUUUAGGAACAUAUAUCUCAUUUAUGCACAUAAAUGUGUCACACCUCCUUUUUACUACCCCGGAAGGGUAUAAGGGAGUUUUUUCCAAUUUAAGUAACAACAGAAACGAGAUUAUUUAUUUAUUAUUCAGAGUCGCCACUUGGGAUGAUUUAUGGUGUCCUAAGUCACCGGUUUUAAAUCCUGAAUUGAGAAAAGAUUGACUCUGUUUUUUAGUCCGCGAACACAGAAAUCCGGGUAAGGAAUUCUGUUAACCUGAGAGAAGGUGUUAGGCAUUUUCAGAUUCCGUGGUUCUAGCACGGUCGCUCAACUAUUACUAUUGGCCUAAUUAUAUGAUUUUAAAAUAUUCUUAAACCUAUGUGCAUUUUUAACCUUUUAGCCGCUUUUAAUUAUGCAAAGAAUUAAUUCAAAGUUAUUUAAAACAUAUCGCAAGCCACGCUAUAUGAAAUGCACUCAUGGUUCACGACACGCUCUAUUUAACCUUGUUGGAAAUUAGAACCGGGCCACAUGAAAUGUACCCACAGAUUUAUAACAAUUGUGUAUCGCAACUACGUCACGGGAAUCGUACCCGUAAUCACGAUGAUUUUAUUAUAAAUGCACCUAAAGUAAACUACUAUGUUUGUGAAUUGUGUAAUUCUCAAUUUGAUGAUUGUGAGCAAGAAAGGCCCGGGAUUAUGAAGUACUUUUACUAAAAGAGAUUUCAUGCAUUCAAUCCAGCCCAAUUCCUAAACAUGUAAGUAAUUUUUAUCACUAAUGGGCUAGGAAUUUCCAAAUUUAGAAGUUUAACACAUGCUCUGUACUUUGUCACAAAAACACAAUCCUAUGCAUGUACCGUCUCUAUGAAAAUGUCUCAGCAGUAUAAAGAAUCUCAUUCAACAACGAAAUUAGUAAUGCAGUCACGGCUUUAAACUAAAUGGAUCAAAAAGAGUUCACUUAAUAAAUCUAUCUUCCUAUUCCUCACUUGCCUUUUAACAUAAACCAACACCCAGAUUUCGUGAUUAACUCCAACACAAGCUAAUUUGUAAACAGAUUUUAUAAUUCAAUUUAAUCAACUACGGAGAUUAGCCCUUAAAAUAGACUUGAAAAAACUAUCUUAUUAUUGACCACUUUAGAUUUCAAAAGGAAGAAACAUUAAAAUCUUAAGCUAAGAAAGCUAGUAAGGAAGAUACCCACCAACACAAUGUUCAAACGAAUUGAGUCAGAACAAUCAAACAUAAGCUUUCUCCAUUUUUUAACAAUGAAAUAUAUGAUAGAAAUACCGCAAAUAACAGAGGGGAAAAGAAAAAUGAACCUGAAAUGAUCUUUUUGGCUAACAAAAAUUUCAGCAACUACACAAAUGAAGUUCACCGUAGCUAUGACCGGAUCUCGAAAUGGCGAUUAAAAAAAUCAAACAGAAUCAGGAUCGGAAACUCUGGACAUGACAACCUCGACAAACUCGGCCCAAUCUAACCUUCUCAUUUUCGAAUUUAGAUUUGUUCGUUCCUUGUUGAAGAGUGGGUGAGCAGGUAAAGUUCAGGGGAUGGCCUCUUUUGAUUUUUCUCUAGGUCUCUCUGUUGGAAGAAGGUCUAAUGGCUGAUGCUUCAGCUUUUGUUUAUUGUGUAUCGAUCCCCUCUUUUUGUGAAGAAGAAGACGUUAGGGAGGGGGUCAUUUGUAUUCUUGUUCGGCAUUCAAAAUCCGCAGGAGAAGAAGUCCUUCUUCUGUGAAGAAGAAGGCAUUGGGGGAGGUCUCCUUGUGAACUUCGGUGCCUGAUUUCUUAGGUCCUAGGGUCUUGCGUCUGAUUUAGAGCCUUUUGGCUUUUUGUGUGUCUUUGAUCUUUUCAGAGAAAAACAACGGAUUAGUCUGUGUGUCCCCAUCUAGGUCUAGAGUCUUGUUUGCUUUAUGUGAUGACCCUAUGUUUUGAGGCCUUAAAAACCUCUUUUAGCAUCACCUCGAUUUGCAUGCACUGUCCG